rnacentral:rRNA from 1 species
AGUGAACGCUGGCGGUAGGCCUAACACAUGCAAGUCGAACGGCAGCACAGGAGAGCUUGCUCUCUGGGUGGCGAGUGGCGGACGGGUGAGAAAUACAUCGGAAUCUACUCUGUCGUGGGGGAUAACGUAGGGAAACUUACGCUAAUACCGCAUACGACCUACGGGUGAAAGCAGGGGACCUUCGGGCCUUGCGCGAUUGAAUGAGCCGAUGUCGGAUUAGCUAGUUGGCGGGGUAAAGGCCCACCAAGGCGACGAUCCGUAGCUGGUCUGAGGGGAUGGUCAGCCACACUGGAACUGGGACACGGUCCAGACUCCUACGGGAGGCAGCAGUGGGGAAUAUUGGACAAUGGGCGCAAGCCUGAUUCAGCCAUACCGCGUGGGUGAAGAAGGCCUUCGGGUUGUAAAGCCCUUUUGUUGGGAAAGAAAUCCAGCUGGCUAAUACCCGGUUGGGAUGACGGUACCCAAAGAAUAAGCACCGGCUAACUUCGUGCCAGCCGCCGCCGUAA